CUUUCGCAGCAAUUGGCUACAUCAUCGCUUUAGAAAACUACUGUCCUCGAGAUGCAAUAUUACAAAAGACAUAUUUUUAUAUCAGGAAAGACAUUUGUAUGAUUGGAAGAUUCCAGGUCAUGUAAAAGAAGCAUUAUUUCUGUUAGCCAAGAAAUCUUUGGACAAGAACGUCAAGAACGAUAAUUUAGCAGACGAAAACAUAGGAAUUGAAGAAACAAUCUUAUAACCUAAGUAGUAUGUACUUUAAAAAACAUAUAAUAAUAUUAAAUCUUAGUGAGUUCGAUUUUUUGUCAAAUAAAUGUAUAAAAUCUUUAAAUUGUAUCAAUUAUAUACUGAAUACAUUGCUUUUUGAAAUAA